UACGGAGGGGGCGAGCGUUAUUCGGAAUUAUUGGGCGUAAAGGGCGCGUAGGCGGCCCGGUAAGUCAAAGGUGAAAUCCCUCGGCUCAACUGAGGAACUGCCUUUGAAACUGUCGGGCUUGAGGCCGGGAGGGGGUAGCGGAAUUCCCAGUGUAGCGGUGAAAUGCGUAGGAUAACUGGGGAGGAACACCAGUGGCGAAAGCGGCUACCUGGACCGGUUCUAGGACGCUGAUGCGCGAAAGCGUGGGUAGCAAACAGGA
rnacentral:rRNA from 1 species